GAUGAACGCUAGCUACAGGCUUAACACAUGCAAGUCGAGGGGCAGCAUGGUCUUAGCUUGCUAAGGCCGAUGGCGACCGGCGCACGGGUGAGUAACACGUAUCCAACCUGCCGUCUACUCUUGGACAGCCUUCUGAAAGGAAGAUUAAUACAAGAUGGCAUCAUGAGUCCACAUGUUCACAUGAUUAAAGGUAUUCCGGUAGACGAUGGGGAUGCGUUCCAUUAGAUAGUAGGCGGGGUAACGGCCCACCUAGUCUUCGAUGGAUAGGGGUUCUGAGAGGAAGGUCCCCCACAUUGGAACUGAGACACGGUCCAAACUCCUACGGGAGGCAGCAGUGAGGAAUAUUGGUCAAUGGGCGAGAGCCUGAACCAGCCAAGUAGCGUGAAGGAUGACUGCCCUAUGGGUUGUAAACUUCUUUUAUAAAGGAAUAAAGUCGGGUAUGGAUACCCGUUUGUAUGUACUUUAUGAAUAAGGAUCGGCUAACUCCGUGCCAGCAGCCGCGGUAAUACGGAGGAUCCGAGCGUUAUCCGGAUUUAUUGGGUUUAAAGGGAGCGUAGAUGGAUGUUUAAGUCAGUUGUGAAAGUUUGCGGCUCAACCGUAAAAUUGCAGUUGAUACUGGAUAUCUUGAGUGCAGUUGAGGCAGGCGGAAUUCGUGGUGUAGCGGUGAAAUGCUUAGAUAUCACGAAGAACUCCGAUUGCGAAGGCAGCCUGCUAAGCUGCAACUGACAUUGAGGCUCGAAAGUGUGGGUAUCAAACAGGAUUAGAUACCCUGGUAGUCCACACGGUAAACGAUGAAUACUCGCUGUUUGCGAUAUACAGCAAGCGGCCAAGCGAAAGCGUUAAGUAUUCCACCUGGGGAGUACGCCGGCAACGGUGAAACUCAAAGGAAUUGACGGGGGCCCGCACAAGCGGAGGAACAUGUGGUUUAAUUCGAUGAUACGCGAGGAACCUUACCCGGGCUUAAAUUGCAGAUGAAUUACGGUGAAAGCCGUAAGCCGCAAGGCAUCUGUGAAGGUGCUGCAUGGUUGUCGUCAGCUCGUGCCGUGAGGUGUCGGCUUAAGUGCCAUAACGAGCGCAACCCUUGUUGUCAGUUACUAACAGGUUCCGCUGAGGACUCUGACAAGACUGCCAUCGUAAGAUGUGAGGAAGGUGGGGAUGACGUCAAAUCAGCACGGCCCUUACGUCCGGGGCUACACACGUGUUACAAUGGGGGGUACAGAGGGCCGCUACCACGCGAGUGGAUGCCAAUCCCAAAAACCUCUCUCAGUUCGGACUGGAGUCUGCAACCCGACUCCACGAAGCUGGAUUCGCUAGUAAUCGCGCAUCAGCCACGGCGCGGUGAAUACGUUCCCGGGCCU
rnacentral:rRNA from 1 species